UUGCCUACGGGGGGCAGCAGUGAGGAAUAUUGGUCAAUGGGCGGUAGCCUGAACCAGCCAAGUAGCGUGAAGGAUGAAGGUUCUAUGGAUUGUAAACUUCUUUUAUAAAGGAAUAAAGUGAGGCACGUGUGCCUUUUUGUAUGUACUUUAUGAAUAAGGAUCGGCUAACUCCGUGCCAGCAGCCGCGGUAAUACGGAGGAUUCAAGCGUUAUCCGGAUUUAUUGGGUUUAAAGGGUGCGUAGGCGGUCGGUUAAGUUAUAG
rnacentral:rRNA from 1 species